CAAACAUUGAGAUCUCCUGCCUCUGCCUCCUGAGUACUGGGUUAAAUUUGUUUUAAUGGCAGCUUGCUUGGUUGUCAACUGUUAGAUGUGUCAUUUCAACAAAUAGGCCGUUUCCUACAGAAUUCUCAGAGGAAACAGAUACAUGGUCGUGUGUUUUAGAAAGUGUGUGAUACUUUGUUACUAAAACUCUUUAUAUAAAGCAAUUAGACCAUGAAGGGAGAACUUCCCAGGAAGUAUGAAGGACAUUCAAUGAAGUAUGCAGAUAUUCUCUGUUGCCUGUCUCCACGAAAGAGAUCAUAACGUUCAUCUUUCUAAUUUAUGUUUCCAAAGUGAGAUCAAGGUUUUGAACUGGUUACUAGAUUUGUGGAUAAAAAGAUGUGGGAACUUGAAGCUUCUCAAAGGUCAAAUGGUAAAAUUCCCAUGGAAGAUUAUGGGUGGAUUUU